rnacentral:snoRNA from 1 species
AACCAAAGUGUUGAGUUCAGUUCAGGGUGGUUGCCCCUGUUCUGGUAAUUAAACUUUGGGACAGUGAAUGGCUGGAAACUGCUGUGGUGGCUGAAACUUUCCUUAAGUCACCUGUGUUUUCCAGCCUACAGGC